UACGUAGGUGGCAAGCGUUGUCCGGAAUUAUUGGGCGUAAAGGGUGUGUAGGCGGAAAUUUAAGUCAGAUGUGAAAGGCCCGGGCUCAACUUGGGUAUUGCAUUUAAAACUGAAUUUCUAGAGUGCAGGAGAGGAAAGCGGAAUUCCUAGUGUAGCGGUGAAAUGCGUAGAUAUUAGGAAGAACACCAGUGGCGAAGGCGGCUCUCUGGACCGGUACUGACGCUGAGGCGCGAAAGCUAGGGGAGCAAACGGG
rnacentral:rRNA from 1 species